CAGCUAUCAGCUAGUUUAUAGCUUAUUUUUACCAAACAGACCCAAAGUAAAGUCACCGGGUUUCGAAACCCGAUCCCGACGUCCAAUAUUAGCAAUUUCGGCAUAGCUCAACUUAUACAAUUUAUUUGCAGAAAAAUAGGACAUUUGAAUUUUAACACAACUCCUCCAAUAAUAUAGCGCAAUUGACUUGACCAAAAAUAUAUCGCAAUUUUUUUUUUUACACAAAAAAUAUAGCGCAAUUGAUUGACCAAGUUUUUGCUAAAAAAUAAACAUAGAAAAUAUGGAUAACAUUGUAAAAAGGAUAGAAAAUCCAACAAAACUAAAAUGCGAACAACAUAUCCAAAUCUUGAACACAAUUAAUCAAUUAUCUUAUGUAUAAGCCCGUUUUUUUUCUUUCUUUUCCUUUAUUGACUUGGCAGAAAAACACUGAUCUCUAAAAUUU
rnacentral:lncRNA from 1 species